rnacentral:rRNA from 1 species
CCUGGCUCAGAACGAACGCUGGCGGCAGGCCUAACACAUGCAAGUCGAGCGCGCCUUCGGGUGAGCGGCGGACGGGUGAGUAACGCGUGGGAACGUGCCCUUCGGUUGAGGAUAGCCCCUGGAAACGGGGAGUAAUACUCGAUACGCCCUAUUGGGGAACGAAGGAUCGGCCCGCGUCUGAUUAGGUAGUUGGUGGGGUAACGGCCUACCAAGCCUACGAUCAGUAGCUGGUUUUAGAGGAUGAUCAGCCACACUGGGACUGAGACACGGCCCAGACUCCUACGGGAGGCAGCAGUGGGGAAUCUUAGACAAUGGGGGAAACCCUGAUCUAGCCAUGCCGCGUGUGUGAUGAAGGCCCUAGGGUCGUAAAGCACUUUCGCCAGGGAUGAUAAUGACAGUACCUGGUAAAGAAACCCCGGCUAACUCCGUGCCAGCAGCCGCGGUAAUACGGAGGGGGUUAGCGUUGUUCGGAAUUACUGGGCGUAAAGCGCACGUAGGCGGAUCGGAAAGUUGGGGGUGAAAUCCCGGGGCUCAACCCCGGAACUGCCUCCAAAACUCCCGGUCUUGAGUUCGAGAGAGGUGAGUGGAAUUCCGAGUGUAGAGGUGAAAUUCGUAGAUAUUCGGAGGAACACCAGUGGCGAAGGCGGCUCACUGGCUCGAUACUGACGCUGAGGUGCGAAAGUGUGGGUAGCAAACAGGAUUAGAUACCCUGGUAGUCCACACCGUAAACGAUGAAUGCCAGACGUCGGGCAGCAUGCUGUUCGGUGUCACACCUAACGGAUUAAGCAUUCCGCCUGGGGAGUACGGUCGCAAGAUUAAAACUCACAGGACUUGACGGUGGCCCGCACAAGCGGUGGAGCAUGUGGUUUACUUCGAAGCAACGCGCAGAACC